rnacentral:sRNA from 1 species
UUUCUUCCUGUAUAGGUAAAGGGUUUUUAUUCUUGCCUCCUGGCUUAUGUUUUUCUGUAGCUUUGAUUUCUUUUGUCAGCCAUGUUCAAGAUUAUUUAUUCCUGUCUGCCCGCCUCCUGCCCACCCCCAUUUGCUCUGAGGCACAUCCUCCCAGCUGCCCGGGGACUCUGUCAUCACUGCUUUCAAUACCUCUGUCCUGCCUCUUUCUUCUCUCCUGCUGUUCUUCUGCCCCCUCCGCCCCCUCCAGCGAGUUGCAGCCUGUACAGUUGAUUCAUAGCUCAUGGGGACUCUCUCCCCAGCUGUGUCUACAAACACUAAAAAGCCCAUCAAAGGUCUCCACUCCUGCUACGCUAUCAUUUCCGGUUCCUGUGAGCCCUUAAGGCUGUGAUCGUGAUUUCUCACUUCCCAGGCAUACUUGCCCAGUGCCUAUUCUAUGCAGCGGGGCCCCUAGUUGUUACAUGGUUGCUUUAAAUUCCCCCUGACAUCUCUGCUGAGGCGGGUCCUGACGCUCGAGCUGCUGCCUCACUCUGCUGGCUUUCAGUACGCCUUGGGCCUUUUCUCUUGCCCUCUAGACGUGAUGUACCGAGUACAGGUAAAAGUAGGCCUGGCUUUGGGUGCUGUGUGUGUGUGUGGUGGGGGAGCUUUCUGUAAUUCUUGACUGGGCCUUGUCUUCGUGUAACUGUGCCCUGGGAUUGCGCAUGUCGCGAGUGGCCCUCGUUUUAAGGAUCUUUUCAAACAAGGCAGAUAGAAUGAUCUAGAACUGGGUGUUCCCUCCUCAGUGUAGAAAGCUAUAGCGAGUUUCAGCUGGAUGUUUUCCUUCACCCAGGCUAACUAGGCUCAGAUAAAGCAACAGCAUGCCCCAGUUAGCUAGUCUCUCCUCAAGGAGGACAUUGUCAAAGAACAGAAUAGACUGGUGGAUUUAAAAAUGGCUGCCUCCAGAGACUGGAGCAGCAAGCUCAGGGCCAACAAGGUUCUGCCCAUCUCCUCUGCGUUUCUAGUCUAGCUUCCAGUCUUAUUGCUUUUGUGGGGCUCAUGAGCAUGGGAAACGGUGGGUGUCUCAUUCUUGUGCCUUCUCUUGGGCCUUUUUCCUUCUGUUGGUUUUCCUUGUCCAACUUUCACGUGGUAGUUUCUGUUUUAUGUUUGGUGGUGUUUGGUUGUUAUCUCUUAAAAGCCUGUUCUUUUCCAUGAGAGACAGAACGAAGUGGAUCUGGAGGGGAGGGGAGGUAGGGAGGAACUGAGAGAAGCAGAGGGAGGGGAAACUGUCAUCAAGGAUUUGUUCUGUGAGAAGACAAUCUAUUUUCAAUAAAAGGGGAAAAUGUCCCCUUCUUCCUCCCUCUGCAUACGAGUAUGAGAGAAACUCCUGUGGCGCUCUAUCCUGGAAACCUAGAUCUUUCUCCUGGAGUUAAAAGUCAUAGAGGCAUCAGGGCGACUUGUGACUACGUCACGGGAGUGUCAGCUCCCACGUAAGCGUCCCACAUCUACCUCACAGAAACUCUGUCAGGCCGUUACUGUGUGGAUGAGUGUCAGGGGACGCAGAAUGAACUGACUACCCAGAGGAUGAACGGCUUCUGGAUGCUGCUGCUGCCCUCCUUCUCAUGGGUGCACCAUGAGCUUCAGGAGUUGGCUGCUCCCAGGGAGAAGCCCUCAACCAAGAGGCCAUGUUACGGCACGAUUUGUGAGUAGCAUCAGGAGUAGACACUCAGAGUAUACGCUCUAGCUGUCACAUGGCCACCAAAGGCAGUCUACAAGUGCUGCCAGCUUCCACGUGACCCUUCCACAUGCCAGCGGAAUCCUGAAGGUCAGAGGGCAGAUCCACAGCGAGACUAGCGAUAAGAAAGGACGGUGGUCCUAGCUCCCUUCCAAAGUGGAUGAAUACGUUACUUAAUACGGGUGAAAUUACCAAAGAGGUAAGUGUGAAAUAUCUGUUUUUAACUGCGUGCACCUAGAAAAGUUUAGGACCUAAAAGAUUAUUGGUAUGGGUUUUUACUUAAGACCAAAUCCUACUUCAUAACCCAAGCAAGACUUGAACUCACAACCCUCCUGAUUCAGUUUGCCUAGUUCUAGGAUCAUAAGCACACACUACCACACCCAACUUUCAUGUCUGUUUUCUCUCCUUAUAACAUACAUUACUCUUCUUUUUAAAAAAAAGUUUAUUUUAAAUGAUAUGCAUAUGUGAGCAGUUGGACACAUGAGUGCUCCAGUAGAGGCCAGAGGCAUCGGAUC